rnacentral:lncRNA from 1 species
AGGUCUUGGAGCGUUCUCGGGAUGUUGUUGAUGAAGUCUGAUGUUGUGGUCCUCUGUUUUUCGAUUGCUAAUCCCAAUUCCCUAAAUCAUGUGAAAAGCAUGUGGUAUCCAGAAAUCAAGCACUUUUGCCCUCGAACACCCGUUAUCCUUGUUGGGUGCCAGCUUGAUCUCCGCUAUGCCGACCUGGAAGCUGUUAAUCGAGCCAGGCGCCCG